rnacentral:misc_RNA from 1 species
CAAAAUUAUGGAAUAAAAAGAGAAGAAAGGUGUUUGGUCACCUAGAGAUAGCAAAUCCGGUGAGAUCUAGUUGUUGAGCGCAGUGGCUCCAUUUUCCGAAUGGUUUUGAUUGGUUUGCCGGUGCUUCGGAGCUCACAAGCUUGUUGGAGAGAUAGAGAAGGGUUCGUUUCUGGUGGUUGUUGCUGGUUCUCAAAGCUAAAAUCUAGAAAGUGGAAAUUGGGUGGUUUCCGGUGACUAUUGCACCGGAAAAAGGAGUAAAGGAAGAGGCUUUUGGGGUUGUUUGGCUGGUUGAUUUUUUUUUUUUUUUGAACUGGUGGAUUUGGGUGAUGGUGUUAGCUGGAAAAUGAAGGAAAGAGGUUGGGUUUCUAUGGUGAGGAAAUGGUUGGAGAAGAAGAGCAAAAAUGGGUCUGUUUGUUGGCGGUUUUGGGGAUUUCAGGUGGUGGUUUGGGAUGGUCUGGAAGCUGGUCGGAGAAGGAACAGGUUUAAAAGCUGUGUUUAGUCAGUUGUUUGGUGGUUUUGGAGUCGGUUUGGUCACGAUUUGGAGGUGGUGCUCCAGUAUGGAGGGUUGUACUUUGAUUGUUCUCCGACAGUGACAUGGGGAGCUCAAAAAAAUUGAGAUUUUCAAGGUGGUUCUCUGGUUCUUGGCUGCUGAAAAAAUAGGUGAAUGGAGGUUGUUUCAGGCGAGAUUCUGACCGGAAGAGAGGGGUAUUGUGGGGUGUUGUUUG